rnacentral:rRNA from 1 species
ACAUCACACAGAUGAUGUAGGGUAGAGGAGCGUUCCGCCCAGGGGGAAGCCAAGCGCGUAAGCCGCGGUGGACAGGGCGGAAGUGAGAAUGUCAGCUUGAGUAACGCAAACAUUGGUGAGAAUCCAGUGCCCCGAAAACUCAAGGGUUCCUGCGCAAGGCUCGUCCGCGCAGGGUCAGUCAGGACCUAAGGUGAGGCCGAAAGGCGUAAUUGAUGGCAAGAAGGUUUAUAUUCCUUCACUAGUCUAGGCUUAGUCCUGAGGGACGAACAAAUAACACUCGGCACAAUGGCCUUCCAUGGUAGGAAGGGUCAAACCAUUGUUGUUUGAUGGUAUUUUUUCCAAGAAAAGCUCAUUCGACUUUGAGUCUAGACUACCUGUACCGUAAACCGACACAGGUGAGUGGGUUGAAUAAACUAAGGGGAGCGAGAUAACUCUCUCUAAGGAACUCGGCAAAUUGGCUCUGUACCUUCGGAAGAAAGAGUGCCCCUCAGGGGGCCGCAGUGAAGAGAUCCAGGCGACUGUUUACCAAAAACACAGGUCUCCGCAAAGUCGUAAGACGACGUAUGGGGGCUGACACCUGCCCAGUGCCAGAAGGUUAAAGAAGUUGGUCAAUCUAUGAUGAAGCUAACGACUGAAGCCCUGGUGAACGGCGGCAGUAACUAUAACUGUCCUAAGGUAGCGAAAUUCCUUGUCGGGUAAGUUCCGACCCGCACGAAAGGUGUAACGAUCUGGAUACUGUCUCAGAGAGAGACUCGGUGAAAUAAAACUAUCUGUGAAGAUGCGGAUUACCUGCACACGGACAGAAAGACCCUAUGAAGCUUUACUGUAACCUGGAAUUGCUCUCAAGCUUAUCUUGCGCAGCUUAGGUGGGAGGCUAUGAACCUUUUCUUCUGGGAAGAGGGGAGCCAUCAGUGAGAUACCACUCUUGGUAAGCUAGAGCGCUCAGUCUUCACCGUCAUCCGGUAAGACGACAGUUUCAGGCGGGCAGUUUGACUGGGGCAGUCACCUCCCAAAAGGUAAUGGAGGUGUGCAAAGGUUCCCUCAGGCUGGACGGAAAUCAGCCAUAGAGUGUAAAAGCAAAAGGGAGCUUGACUGCGAGACUGACAUGUCAAGCAGAGACGAAAGUCGGCUUUAGUGAUCCGACGGUGCUGUGUGGAAAGGCCGUCGCUCAACGGAUAAAAGUUACUCUAGGGAUAACAGGCUAAUCUCCCCCAAGAGUUCACAUCGACGGGGAGGUUUGGCACCUCGAUGUCGGCUCGUCGCAUCCUGGAGCGGAAGUACGUUCCAAGGGUUGGGCUGUUCGCCCAUAGAAAGCGGCACGCGAGCUGGGUUCAGAACGUCGUGAGACAGUUUGGUCCAUAUCCUGUGUAGGCGUUUAGAGCAUUGAAAGGAUCUCCCCUUUGUACGAGAGGACCAGGUGGGGACAGACCGCUAGUGUACCAGUUAUCCCACCAGGGGUAAACGCUGGGUAGCUAUGUCUGGAGUAAAUAACUGCUGAAAGCAUAUAAGUAGGAAGUUCACCUUAAGAUGAGUGCUCUUUUGUCUCAACCGUUCAGUUUUACUGACAAAUGAAAGACAAGGAAGGUCACGGCAAGACGAGCCGUUUGAUAGGCAUGAAGUAGAAGUGCAGUAAUGCAUUCUGAAGCUGACAUGUGCUAAUAGACCGAGGGAUUUGAUU